rnacentral:misc_RNA from 1 species
CUGUGAGAUUACAUAUGUAUAUAGUAUUAAUGCUGCAAGAAUGUAGUAUCAACUCACAAAGUUAUCAGGUUUUAUAUAUAUAGCUUUAUCAAUGAAUAAAGAUGUUGUUGUAUGACUUAAUUUGUUAUAGGCUUUGACCACAAUAUCUAGUAAAWAUUACUUUGCUGAGUAUCGUAGUAAAAGUUAGGGUAUAUAGUGUUAAGACUUUUUUAGAGUUGUACCACAAUAUUUUCUAUCUUUUGAAAAGCUGUCUCUGUAUUGAUAGCUUGUGC